CACAGGUUCUCUCUCCACCUUAUCUCUUCAUCUCCUCUCGAAACAUCUAUCUCUGUCUCGUCAAUUCCCCACGAGCUAGCCCACUAAUUCUCCAUGGCUGCCAUCGAUUUUUGUUGCUACGCUCGGCCAACCUCCUCCCCUGUCGUGGCUAGCGAGCCAUCUCCGAUUCCAACUCCGCCCAUCCCCGCGACGCAUGGCGAGCGCGCCGCGCCGUUGCCGGCCUCUCCCGCAGCGCCGCGGACCCCUCGGGGCGGCUGGAGGUGCUGGGAGCGCUGGGGCGCCCGUGCUAUGACGCGCAUCGGGAGUUGUUGGACCUCCGGCGGCCGUGCUGCGACAUGCCGCAAGGUCGACAAAAGCUGCGGCGGGGCUGCGUCAGGAUGCUGGAACCGGCAAGAUCCGGUGCUGCUACCGGCUGCGUCGCGUGCUGGAACCGGAGACCCCCGGUCCUACUAUCGGUUGCAUCUUGGGGAAUGCAAGCUGCGAUUUUUUUGCUGGACAUGGCAGUGCAGGUCGACGGCGGCAAGCCGGAGACGGGGACGCCGGGGAUGUUGCAACUUGCAAGCAUGGUGGCCACACGCUGGAACCUGCGUAUAUUGGAGCUGUAGCCAUGGCGAGCGGAGGCAGCCGAGGCGAGCGCGGUGGCAUGUGUGGCUGGCGAGCGCGGGUGGCGGCCGUGGUGGCCCGUGUGGCCGGCAAGCACGGAAAGCCGAGGGCAAGUGCGGUCAGCCGGCCAGCGUGUGUGCAGUCUGGCAUGUGUGCAGCACCUUUUUCUCCAUUUUUCAAUCCAAUGUUUGACUUUUCUGGAGCCAAUUCUUUUAUCGUACGGUUACAAAUAGUUGUAUCGGACGUACGCGCAGCGACCGGCCCAAAUUUGGGCCGGCGCACCCGCGCUUAUCAUUGCCCUAUAUUCUAGCAAUAUAAUCCAUACAAAAGAUUGACCUGGACUCUGUUGAACCGGGGCGUAGA